CCACACAGUUGGCUGUUGCAGAUCCAGCCCCGUGGAUACCAGAGAAGAGGCUCUGUGGUGUUUACAGACAUGCUCCACUCUAUCUGGCCCGUGUCUGUGCGGUCAGUCCUCCAGGAUGACGACGUCCACUUAGCUCUCGGCACCCAUCUCCACGGCUGUCUCGUGGACCGGCCCUGCUGCUCCCUCCUGUUGCUCCCAUGCUUUCUCUACGGCUGUCUCCCGCUCAGCUCUUGGGUCCCCACUUCCCUGUCACUGUCUAUCAGAGUCUGUUUGUCCUCUGAGGCCUCUUUCAUCCUCCCAGUGGGGGUAGAUUCAUAAACCCUACCCGUUAGUAUCUAACCCAGUGUUUUGCACGUCGUAGUUCCCUCAAUAAACAUCCUUUCACUUUUUUGCAUGUGUCUCAUGUAUGGAAAGGAAGCUUGACUUAGAGAUUAAAGUCAAUCAAAUUA